rnacentral:rRNA from 1 species
UGGGGAAUAUUGCACAAUGGGCGCAAGCCUGAUGCAGCAACGCCGCGUGAGGGACGACGGCCUUCGGGUUGUAAACCUCUUUUGGCAGGGAAGAAGCGAAAGUGACGGUACCUGCAGAAAAAGCACCGGCUAACUACGUGCCAGCAGCCGCGGUGAUACGUAGGGUGCAAGCGUUGUCCGGAAUUAUUGGGCGUAAAGAGCACGUAGGCGGUUUGUCGCGUCUGCUGUGAAAACCCGAGGCUCAACCUCGGGCCUGCAGUGGGUACGUGCAAACUAGAGUGCGGUAGGGGAGAUUGGAAUUCCUGGUGUAGCGGUGGAAUGCGCAGAUAUCAGGAGGAACACCGAUGGCGAAGGCAGAUCUCUGGGCCGUAACUGACGCUGAGGAGCGAAAGCAUGGGG